UCUCUCAUUCUCCGGGUUUAUUUUUCAAUGCUCCUUUUUUUUUCUUUUUCGAUUUCAUGUUAUUUUCUUAUAUUGCUCGAUGUAAUUUGAGUUUUUGGUUUAAUUUUGUUACAGGUUUUUUAUGCUAAUUGUUGCUGAUGAAUAUUUGCCCUAUCUAUCACUUAUAUUCUCUUGCUCGAUUCUUAUUUUUCUGAUCUGGCACAAGGGCUUCGAGGGUACAAUAAUCUUUGUGCUAAGCAUUUCUAAUCAAUUGCCUCCAUAGCGCAGUGAGGGCGGGUUGUGUGAUUCGGCAAGCUUUGGGACGACGGAGAGCCACAAGGUACAAGGGAGAAGCAUUUGGAAGAAAACUGCUCGCACAUAUGGUUCUUUUACUGUAUAAGGCUCGCCUUUUUCCUCUAAGACCAUAUGCAGAGAAUUUGGCAUAACUACGUAGAUUUCAAGCAUGGCUUUGGAGGUGUGCAUUUUAUAUUUGGUCCGUCGAGCACUUAACAUUGUUCAGACGAGGACAUUUUGACAGAUGAUCAGGAGGAAGUGCAAUGUUGGAGGGAUUCAUUUAGUGAAGAAAGCAAAAUAGUAUAAUAUAAUUUGCCAAGUGGUUACAAUGGGAUGAUGAGCUAACAAUAUUGGAUGUUCGCAAGUUUAAGCCUAUUCAAAAGGCAAGUUCAAUUACGAGUGGAUACCCAGCUGAAAUACGUGUUGUCAACCGCAACGGCUAAAAUCCAGAUUUCAUGCAAUUGUAACAUAGUUCAUACAUAAGAUGGUGGACCGCCUACAUGAUCAUGAACAAUCUCGCUGUUUUUGUCUUUCUAGCAGGUUCAACAAUGUACUUCUAUAACUUUGUUCCCCAAAUGAAUGUACAUAGUAUGAAGCAUAUCAUGUUAAUAUUUAGUUUAAUGACAUUUGUUUAUUUGGAUA